rnacentral:lncRNA from 1 species
CGCUCCCUUCGUCUGCUUCAAGUGGCCGUGGGACCCCAGCCUCAACGCGAGCCCAAGCCCCAGCCUCAGCCCGCCCAAGCCCAAGCCCCUGCCGGCGACCUCGAGCUCCCCUGGCUCUUCAAGUCCAUCCGCACCGUGGCACAGGGCUUCCUCAUCGCGGGCGACCUCCCUUCCUCCAGCGACGGCGAUGGAUCGAGUUGGCGGAAGCGUAACCCGGGCCAGGUGGCUGUGGCGGCGGACCGCGGGGACGCGGAGCAGCGGGCGCUCGCGGCGGCGCUCGUGAGCGGGAGGCCGGCCACGGUGCUGGAGUUCUACUCGACGCGGUGCCGCCUCUGCGCGUCGCUUCAGGGCCUCGUGCGUGAGCUCGAGGACGGCGCCGGUCGGUGCGUGAGCUUCGUGCUCGCCGACGCCGAGGACGACCGCUGGCUCCCCGAGGUGAGGCGCUUCGCUCUUUAUGGCCUGGGUUUGGGUGUUAAGUUGUCGCAUACAGUGCUUUUGCAACGAUGGAUUAGUAAACAAUAACAUGAAGGUAGAUUAGUCAGAUUUGAGAUUAAUCUCGCCUCGCUGUACUAGUUAAUUUUGGACUGACUUGCUACAAUUGGUAGUGAUCGAUGUACUAGAAAAUUACUUGGUUCUAUGGGACAAUUCUGACCUUGAGAAAGAACUAGAGAAUGAAUCCUUCGUGUGGUUAGAAUUAGCACACACUGGAUGGUUGAAGAAUCAAUUCGGUUACUAUAUCAUCGAACCCAAGAACUAUCAUGUGCUUGCAUUCAGUUUAUUGAACCAUGCAUGACGUGCGUCAAUAAUUUGUUGAACCCUGCAUUCUUCUUUGAAAGGGGACCCUGCAAGUUGAGAAGGAUCUUCUUGCUUUAGGCAUUGCAAUGUCAACCCCUGUUCCACAAACCCAGUCAGUGUUUGAGAUCAGUGAAAUGGGUUCUUACAAUGGCAGCACCGGGUGGAUAUUGGUUUCAGUCAUUAGUGUCUCUUGAUGAAGAAUUUUAUGAUAGCUGAAAUGUAGAUCGGUAGAAGCAAUGAUUUGAUGAACUCAAAACAUGACUUUAGAGUGUCAGGUUACAAGCAAUCAUUUAAAUAUGCUAUCCUGUCCCAUGAGCCUUUGUUCAUGGAGUAAAUAUCAUGCAGAAGGGGGCCCUAGCCCCAUCCAUGCCUUGAAGAAUUUGAGACUCUGGAGUACGGAGAAAUACAGCAUAGAUAACAGAGGACUGAUGAUAAUGAUAUAGAAGGGACUAGGACUUCAUGUCUUGAAGAAUGAGAUACUACUAGAGUAGGGAGAAAUGGACCUUAGAUAACAAAAGCGCUGCAAUGCAAAAAUCACUGAUUGUUUUAGUUGGAUAUAGGGUGUCUGAUCCAAUUACUGAAUAACUCAACUACGAUACAGAGUCUUAGUUCUAACAAACUAUACAUCUAUUAACUCUUUCUAACAUAUUAGUCAUUAAUUAUGGAUUCGACAUGUUUCUGACUUCUGGCCUACCUGGCCAUCAUUGCCGUACAUAUUGUAGCUGACUUGCUGUUGCUGCCACGAUGCUCAUAUUGCCUGGCCCUUUAUCCAUAACAUCCUCUCUUUUUUUCUCAUACAUGCUUGUUCUUCGUCUACUUUAGCAUGGAUCAAGCGGUCCUGAUGUAUUAUGAAUUACUAGUUACUUUAAGUAGCUACUACAGACAUAUGGUGUCUUAAAAAAAAUUGUGCUAAGAUAUGCAUUUGGAAUGUGCUAUUUAGUUCUUACUUCUUAGCACUAGUGGUAUGUUUCUCUCUUUUAUUUUAGGACAGUACUAGUGGUAUCUUUGUCAAUCACACAUAAGUUUUCAAACACAUGGCAACACCAUAGAAACAAGUUCCAGUGCUUGAAAAUAAAUACUUGCAUUGGGAAGAUGGUGAAGUAAGUUUCAAGGACAAGCACAUAACAACUCAGGAUAAGUUACUUGAGGGUUGUAAGGAAAAACCUGCUUGGGGAUGUUUUUUUUGUUUUUAGAAUUGUUUGAUAAUUCUGACCUGCUAAUCAUUUGAAACCUGGGCUGUUGCCAACUUUGGGUUGUAAUUGUGGCAGCAAGUUUCACUGUGCUGUCCAUUUCUAUAGAUACACUGCUAAGAAGUCAUUCUCAGUUUGCCAUUUGGAGGAAAUUGCAGAAGAGUUUGUCGGUUGCUAGAAUUUGUGUUCAUUGAAACUGAACUAAAAAUUGUCCAGCACACCCUAAACCCAUAACCUACGUACUCAAGGUUCGUUUGGAUGGUCUGCCCUCCCCUCAGUGCCUUCUGAUGCUAAGGGAAAUCGAAGAAUUAAAAUCCCUUCUCACCACUCAGCAGAAUGGGAGGGAUUGGGUUUAGACGUUUAGUUUCCACCUUUGAAAACAAGUCAUCAUGCAUGCGAUUGGUAUGAUGACGACUCCAAUUUGCGAAAAUAAGCAGACUAAAGAUGCUAACCUCAUUACCAGUGCUCCAUGCUUGCUUGCAUCUUAGUAUUUGUAUUAUCUUCACAUAUACAUUCUAUUUCAAUUCUGAGAAAGAGAUAGGAUGUUCCCAACAUCUAACAUCAAAAUUAUAUGUUAUCUUUGCAGCUUCUGCAUUAUGAUGUCAGGUAUGUUCCUUGCUUUGUCCUCCUGGACAAGAAUGGUAGAGCUGUAGCGAAGACUGGAGUUCCAACUAGCAGGCAACAUGUUAUCGCAGGCCUUCAUCACCUUCUUGACAUGAAGCAACCAUCUAGGAAGGAAGGAAAGAAGACUUGAUUAUGAUGAGAAUUUAUUGAGCAUGAUCUGUAAUCAUGAAUAAUGUCAGAUGACACAUUUUGUUUGUUUUACCAAGCACUUCGGCGACAAUGGUUGGACUUAUAUUCUUUGGUCAAUUUGUACAUGAUUAGCUUUUGUAGCUAUAUUUUUUUUGUUUUUCUUGCACAAGCACUUCUUUUGCUUGAAUAUACUUCUAAACGCUGAUGUGGUUCGAGAAAUCAGUGUGAGAGAUUGUGAUGUACUGUUUGACACGAUGACACUGAGAGAUUGUGGUGUACUGUUGACACGAUGACACUGCCUAAUUCCUAUGAAAACAUAAUCCAUCAUCACUUGUGCUCUAUUUACUGUUCAUCGCUAGUACUCUAAUUGUGUUGCAUGGCAAGUUCAUAGUCCCUCCUCGUCUUAUAGAUGUGGUCGAAUAUUGUCUUUUUGUGUGACGAUAUAUAUGUGGUUGAAUUUGAUCCGGAAAUUUCACUGAUUAGAAUAUCACCUCUAACUAUGAGUCUAUGAUAUUUUUCAGAAUUACACUACUCCCUCGGUCCAACAAAAGAUGUCUCAAUUUUGACUAAAUUUGAAUGCAUCUAUACAUUAAGUCAUGUCUAGAUAUAUCCAAAUUUUAACAAACUUGAGAAAUCUUUUGUUGGACGGAGGGAGUACAAUUGUUCUACAGGGAAUUUGCUGGAACAGAGUGCUUAAUUAAGGUGCCUCGCAACACGGAGAGUGCUUAAUUAAGGUGCCUCGCAACACGGAAGAAUUAUUCUCUAAGAAAAACACGGAAGAAUUAAGAACGGUAUAGAGAAGAAAAAUAUGGAUUUCGAAGAGAAAUUUGGUUACAAUUAUAAUAGCCACAGAUCAUCGAUCGGACGGACAGGGUGACCCCAAACGGUUAUGCGAGUUGGCCCCUCCGCUGCUCUCGUCACCUCUCCAAACCACUAUGGCGGCGCCGCUCGCCCCCCUAACCGCCGCCUGCCUCGGCUUGCGCCACCGCGUGCUUCCUCCUCGCUUCCCUCCGGCACUACGGCGCUCCACCUGCCCCGCUUUCGGCCCCCACCCUGCGGCGCCGGCUCCUGCCCCCGCCCCCUCGCCACCUCACCCGCUCCGCCCGCCCGUUCGCUGCCUCCGUGGAUGCGGUGCAUGGAUGGAUUGGCUCGAUCGUCCGGGCUGGACCAGCACAACUGACUCGGUCGCUUUGCCAACGCGUGUCGCCCUCGCGACCCGACCCGAAGUACCCAACCACACAACAAGCCAAUCAGCUCCUCACUCUCCUCGGUCCUCACACACACACUCCUCUGCGCCCCGAUCAAGCCCUAGCUCGCAGCUCCGGCCUCCGGACGCCGCCUCCCUUCCCCGGCUCCGGCGCCCACGAGCAGCUCACGCUCCAUCUCUCUCCACUCCCCUCCCCCACGCGCGCGACGCCCGGCUUCCAUCCAUUUCCCUCGAGGUCCGGCAAUGCCGAGGCGGCGGUCGUCGGCUGGGCGGAUGGAUGCCGCCAUAGACCAUUUCACUCCGAUGGGGUACAACAAGGCCCAAGUCCGCAGCGUGGUCAACACCCUCCUCAAGGUUCCCCCACUCCCUUAGCUCCCUUUUCUGCUUCUACGCUGAGAUGCGAGGGUUUUGUUUUGGGUUCGAGAGCCCCGCGGAAUUAUCUCUCAAGGGUCGACGUUUCCUCGGGGCUGGUGCCAAUUCUUACGAUCGUGAUUUCGGCUGGUCUGUUUAGGUGUAUGGGACGGAAGAUGGGAAGCAACCAUGGGCGCUUCUGGAGGACAACUGCUACCAGGUGGUGCAGGACGUGCUCUUCGAGAAGCAGGAGGAGGAGGAGAAGCUGCAGCUGCAGCUGCUUCAGGAGCAGGAGAAGCAGUCGGAGGAGGAGGGUGGAGCUCAGGUGAGCUAAUUCUCUAUUCCCUUUCUUCUUUUUAUCUCACAUGUCCAUGUGUUUGGCCUGGCAGUGUUUCCCAUUGCCAUCAAUUUGCCUGUCUGCUUCCCUGCAGACCAAUAUGUGCAACGCUGUGUUGUUUCUUAGUUGACAAUAAUGCUACUAUCCCAACUACCAUGCAAAGAUCAAAAGAUCCUGCUCAAUGACACUUGUUCAUUUGGUAUUUUAGUGGAUAGUAUAAGAUGAUAAUCUUUAUGAGGUUUUUUUAACUGUUAUAAUCAAUUCUUCAUCUUCUUUGGCUACGAGUAAAGUGAACUGGUUCAUCUUAUACCAUUCCACACGAAUGAAAAUAUCAAUAGAAAAUGAGGAAUAAAUUGUUUCUAUUUUUUUUUUUGCUGGAUCACAUCAUGAGACCAACCAUCCUAUUAUUGAGGUUUCCCUUAGAGCAAGCCUGUCCAUGGUAGCUUACUAGCUUAGUCUUUUCAUGCUUUAGUAUGCAUUUACAAAAAUUGAAGUGGAUACCAACCUUUUAUUUUUGUUAUUUAUAAAGCACCUUUUGCAGGAGGAGCAGCAUGAGGAGGUGGAGGAGGAUGACGAGGCUCUGGUGAGCUCCCUCCCCAUUUACUUUCUUGAUUCGAUGUCCUGCUUUGAUGAAAGAGUAUGAGUGUUUGCCAUUGCUACUCCUGCCAGCUAAUUAAUAUAUGCAAUGCUACCGUGGGCGUGCUUUAUCUAAGUGAUAACCUCAGUUCUUGGAUGGUUGGUCCAUCUGAUGUUAUCAUUGAUUUUUGUAGCAGCAACUUAGUCUUCAUUUUCUGUUGAUAUUGUAGUCAUGUGGAAUUCCAUAACGACAGACCCGUUCUCUAUAUCCUUCACCAAACAAUAUGGGAAGAACAGUUGAGCAUUUCCUUAUAAAUUUCAUCUUCAAUGCUAGCAUCCUAUAUCUUUGACCCAAACUAUUAUCAAACAAAAUACCUUAAAAUUCUGUCCCCUAGAUCUAACAAGUGAUUGUGUAUUUGCACAGUUUGUGCCAUUCUCUCCUAAUUUCUUUGUUUUGGGGAGAUUUACUUGUUGCUGCUUGGCUGCAGAAAGAAGUGAAUUGACUUAUGUCUUUUAUGUUGCCUCUGGGCUGACAUAAUUGACUGAUGAUUUGGAAUUGUACAGUUUUAGCAUUGCACUAUAUGUAGUAUAAUACAACUGCAUCAUGUUGGCUGGAUAUCAGUACUUCUGUAAUUAAAAAAGCAUGCAAAAAUUGUUCUUAGUUGUGAAAAAAUUGAUGUUUAGCUCUAAACCAAGACCCUGAGCUAUUAAUUUUUUGUUUGAGUUUCUUAUUCCGUUCAGUCAACAAAGCAUGUGCAUUUUGUGUAAUUCUUUCAUGGGCUUCAUGUGUAAUGCAGCAACAAGAAGCAGCAAUGCAGGAGGCACCAUUAGAAAACAACAUGACAAUUGUGAGGGUGCACACUGGCUUACCAUCUGAGGCUGUGUCAGCAGUUGAGGAAAAAGAGGAAGUUGUCCCGAUGACCAUCGAUGCACCUUCUCACAGAGCUACGCUGCAACAUCCUCUACCUGCGGUUGUUGGUCUUACAAGGCGUCCCUGCUAUGGAUGGAUCAGUGAGUCUGAGAGUGAUUCAGACUAUGAAGAACAUUUUGGUAAUCGGCAACAUGAGGCGCCUGUCCCAACUCCAGGAGGAGACCGGCUUUGCAAGAAGAAGCGGCCAAGUAGAUGGGAUGUGAAGUGAAGUGCAGCACUUAACAGGUAAUGUUUUUAAUAUCCGAUCUUACUUUGUUAUCAGUAAGUUGGUAUUAGUAGCCAAAUUACUAUGAGUAGUCAGUUAUUUCGUAUCUAUUAUUAUUAUUAUCCUUAUACUUUUGAUUAGGCAAAAUACUUGAUUAUGUUUUCCUUAGUUACUACCAGAAAAGUAUCAUUUAGAUAAAACUGAACGGUAAAUGUGUAUGACAUUGAGUAUGUAAAAACUUGGACGGUAUAUAUGUGUGGCCAACAAAGAAUGAGGCAUACAUCAUUCGAGAUGGGUUGGUCAGAAUGAUGAGAUUGGCUCACAACAUAAUUCAUCAUGGUGCUAAUAAUAGUAACGGAGCUGGACAGUUUUUUGUUGUAUUCGAUCUUUCUGUUGUAUGGAAAUAGAAAGGUCUAUACCAACCUGGCUUUGUUAAUCUCCACUAGAUUUGCGAGGGCAUCAUGUAGAAGUGUUAGAAAUCAUAUUAAAAGGACAGAUAAAAACAUUUUUGGGUUCAUAGGUAUGAAUUUAUGGCUUUAUAUUAUUGAUAUUUUUAUUACAAAUAAUUAUCUAAGCUUUUCUCUCACCUUGUACACAGGAAAGAUGGACACUUAAUAUAUAUCCUACACUUUUGUCGCUUGGAGUUUCAUUUGAAUGCUUGUCUAAAGUAGCCUAAUACAUCUAAAUCGAAAUUGUUCUAAAAACCAAGGCAAUACCAUCAUAAUACCAAGUACUCGAACCAAGCACAAUUUUUCCCUAUAACAUGAAGAGCGUGGCAAAAGCAUAUGUUUUAGCACAAUUAAUAAAUGAUGUAUACAAUCAGAGGUGUCAUAGCAGGGUCAAACAAACAUGUUAUAAAUUCUUCCACCAAUGCAAAAGGUCCAAUAAUUGCCAGUUAAAAAUAGUAAUGUGAUUAGGUAAGUACAUAUGGUGCAUGUACAUGUGGUUCUCCAGGGAAACGAAAAGAGAUACAUGCAAAAAGAAAAAGUCAAGCAGAGGGGCUACAUAUUCCAAAACAUGUUGCCAAGCAAACUUAAUAUUACAAAUUUUAUGAAACUGAAGAGAGCAAGAAUGAUGAAUCCGACAACAAUUCAAAGAAAAAAAAAACUGGUGGUUUUCUUCCUGAAAAACAAAAAUCUUGAUGGCUACAUUAUUUACUCAAAUAGCAACCUAAUGCAUCAUUCUUAAUACUCCUGUGUAAAUAUAGAGUAUAGGCUUUGACCGUAAUAUUUUUGUACAAUAUAUAUUUUUGUUGAUGGUUACAACGUAGUUUCCUUCUGUACAUGUGCACAUGGAUUAUAUUUAUAUUUCUAACAUGCAGCUUGCUUCAUAAAGUAUCUUGUAUGACUCUAUUGAGGAGGAUUCUACUUGGCAUGUAGUCAAUCAAGAUUAAGAAAUACAUGAAAGAAUAUUAGAGUUGGUUAAAAAACAUGUGACAAAAGAUUCAGUUUGGUUAACAUUAAAGAAAAGUAAAGUCAUAUAUCCUUGCAUGUGCCUAUGAGAGAUAUAAAAGAAGAGAAACAAUAAGGUACAUAAGAGACAGUAAAAACAUUCGAGUUGGUUUAGAUGUGAUGUGGCCGAGUUUGAUUAACAUGCGAGACUUAUCGAUUUUGCUGCUGUGUUGAAUUGGUAACACGGGUCCACGCCAAAUCGUGGAUACAGUCACCAAGAUCUCAUUAUUUUAUGUACUAAGGUCAUCUGCAAAGAUUGGCUCUUAAUUGGCUCUAGAAAUUUGAUGAUGCAUGUGGAGAAAAGAAGAAUAAGAGAGAGAAAAGAACCUACUCCUUGGUGAAGGGUCUGACUCUUAGCAAAGAGACAACUAAGAAUCGACAUUUUUAGUAUUGUACAUCAUCACAAUUAAUCCUAACAAAAUCAUCUAGUGUCAGUUUAAAGAUCCAACCAAAUAUGUGUGUUAUUUUACUAUCGACAAUAGGUGACAUGGAGAGUGACACUGACUCUACCAAUGGAUGUCCUAACAGAAAGAGGAUUUGCCACAUUAAUAGCUAGAGUUUUUUUAAGUAACUUUUGCAUGUUUUUUUUUCAAGUUAACACAAGCUGUAUCACAACACAUGCCGGAAUGUGUAUGAAACCUGGGCACGUGUAGUUAGUGAGAGAAGAGAACUGACUUUUUCUUCAAGGGUCUGACUCUUAACCAAGAGUUAACUAAGAUUCAUCAUUUUUACUAUUAUACACCGUCACAUAUAAUCCUAACAAAUCAUCUAGAGUUAGUUUAAUGACUCAAUCAAUUAUAUGUGUUACUUUACUGUUGACAACAGGUGACAUGGAGAGUGAACAGACUCUACCAUUGUGGAUGUCAUGUUUUUUUUUUUUGUAAAUUUUGCAAAAAAGAAUCUUCAAGUUAACUCAAGCAAUAUGAUGCCAAAUACCAGAAUAUGUACGUCACCUGGAUCAGGCACAUCUAGUUAGUGUCCAGAGUUACAUGAUGCGAUUAUUCCAUAUGACCAUGAUAAUACAAAAACCACAUAAUACUUUACAGUCUCAUCUUGAAAUCACCAAAUUAACAUGGAAUAUUUUUUCAUACGAAUCAUCUUGUCCAACAAAUUCGCGGCAUCCUAUCAAACCCCAAAUCAAAAGCAUGUGCAAGAUACCUCGAGGCUUCACGAUGGAGAUGUAGCUAAUACCCAUCUGACACCCGUCAUACACUGCUGCAUCCUAUAAGAUCCCCAAUCACAAGCAUGCAACAUACCUCGAGGCUUCAGGAUGGAGUCUAGCUGGGCACAAAGUGGAUGGUCCUGGUGGACACAUCGAUCGCCCACUGACCAUGCAUGUUGAGCAUCAAGUAUGUGUGCGUUUUGCGCAUGGAUACGAUGGCCAGCGAGCGCGCAAGCAUACAGCCGUGGGCACCAGAGGAAAUGUUCGCAGAGUCAGAGACGGUACCCAGCGCGCCGUGAUGGAGUCCACGGCAAUGGCAAUCCAAAAUUAGAUCAAGGGUUAGAGACGAGUGCCUUAUGUGGCAUCGGUGGGUAAUGUUUUUUCAGUUCUGAAGGCGGAUAGUAUUGUCUUAGAUCUAACGGUUGCAAUUUUGUAACCCAUCAAAUUGACGGCCAGAUAUUUUGCUUUUUUAUGAGAUUUUCUAGGUCUAUCUUUUUUCUGGUUGUUCUGGCAUGUACUUUUAAUAUAUAUAAUAGAUGCCAAUACAAUCAUGCUAAUGGAGGUUGAUAUCCAUUGAGUUGUUAAUCUCCAUGCUAGGAAGUCUAAACGGAGCUUUGAAAAACUUGUUGCCUUGUUUGAAACCCUAACCGGCGCUCUUUUGUUAUGACAGGAGAUGAGGCUGAUGCAAGUUCACAGCAAAGAGUGGUGGCAGUGGCUAGUUGAUGUGGUCUGAAGAACUAACUGAAUUUGCAGCCGUACUGUAAUGCUAUGCUAGUAUAUACAUAUAUGUGUAGUAAUCUGGAGAAAUGGGUUUGCAGUGGUAAUGUGACCCUAGUAGUAUAUUCUGCGUGAAGAAUGUAAGAUCGGCAUGGCUGUUGUUGGUUAAUUAGGUAAUUUGACUCUAAUGUUUGUCUGGAUCAUGACCCCUGCGUUAGUUUGGCUUGGCUGGAUGUCUUGAACGCAUUUGGGUUCUGGCUGAUCUGUUGUUAGCAGAGCUAUCUAAGAGAUCAUGUGGCUUUAUGUAUUUUUAAUCAUGCAUGCAUGUUACGUAACUUGCCUGCAGCUGCUGUGUCCAUAAACAUGCCUGUUGCUUGUGUUUUGUCCUGGUCUUAAAAUAGCGUAAGAAAAAGACCAUGAUGACUCCAAAUCCUUGUCAAGAUGACAUGUGGUAUCCAGACAAAGCCUCGAGUUUGGCAGGAUGGAAAAAUCUAGCAUGUUUGGUCCAUGGUCACGUAUUAGCGGCUGUGGUCUGUGGAGCUAGAGGAUUGAGAGGAUGGCGAGAUAAUGCUGAAGCCCGGCCAGAAUUACUGGGAAUUGGUGAUGCUGUCACAUUGGAGCCGAACCUGGCAGUGGCUGGUGCGAAGGUCCUUGCGGAUAAACCAAAAGGGUCAAAUUCAACCGAAACGAAACUUGAGGACAACGCCAAGAAUUUCCUGGACACGGUGGCGGUGUGAGCCACGGCACAUGCAGCCGAUUUGCGUCCACUCCGAGUCUCCGCGUCGGCAAACUUGCAGAAUGCGACGGCGAAGCGAAUGUUGGUGAAUUCGGUCUGUACGCCAAGGGAUUGUUGAGUGUAGCGCGGUCCAUGAACCAUGCAUAGGGGCACGGAGCUGAGCAGCGGAAGUAACAACAAGAGUUAGGAUCGAGGCGAAUUUGAUACUACGAAGCAGCAUGUAAGCGAGAGGUUUUGAGAGAUAUCUAGUGAGACUUUCUCUUUUUACGGGAUAUCUAGUGAGAGAGCUUACCACACUUGUAUGCACGGCUCCACAUUAUAUAUGGUGCACAGUUAGCAACAAAAGUUUGUGGUAAAUUUGAUAGCAUGCAAGGAUGAAGCCAACAUAAGCCUCCGAUGGGACCAGCUUAAUUUAGACUAUGACUUCAACAAUUUGUUUUUUUAUAAAAUUGAUAUACUAUAAUGCACGAGGAGCGAAUGUUCGCUCCUCAGGUCCUGUUUGUUUGGACUUCUGCUUCAGCUUUUGGAUGAAGUAGAAACCCAAACAAACAAGGCCUUAAACCGCGACGGGAUAAAGUUGUCACCUCCACAUAAAUAAAUUUGCCACCGCAUCGAGACUAAUGUUACCACCUCCACUUAACUGCCACUUGUGCGGGACAAGUUGCCAUUACGGCUCCACUAAAGUUGUCUGCGGAACAUGAAGCGAUUGCAACCACAUCUUCCAUGUUGGACGAUUAGUCGGGCAUUCGCUCCAAGAGGCUAGGGAGCGGACGUCCGGUCCUUAUUAUUUUCGCAAGGUUUAUCUAAUCUCGUCGGGUCUGCUCUUUACCUAAAUAGAAACUUGUGGUUUAUGAACCAAACAUAACAUUAGCUGGAACGAUUAGUGGGGCUUUCUUUGUCAACGUACACCAACAUGAAUUCAAUAAGAAAUAUUUGUUUUCAUGAAGGAAAGGAAGAACAAAAAGAGAAAGAUUUGCUUUCAUGAAAUUUAGCUCAUGCUAAUCUCUUCCAUGAGGUAAUUAAACUAAUCUCUUCCAUUAGGUGUUGUCAGUUCACCAAUUGCCUGGAUUUUUUUAAAAUAUAAACAUUUCCUAGUUUUCGGGAUCAGUCAACACUGACCAUCAUCGUCUCCAAAUCACUAUAAACUUAGAUAGCACUAAAGUUUGCACUAACAUUUUAUCAGUUGUUGUUCUUCUAGAAAACAACAGGAGUACGGGGUGUCAAUGCAUGAUGGCACAAAUGCGAGAAUAAGGUGUAGAGGGUGUACGCCGGCCUUAUAGCAAAGGUCGCCGUACACUUGGGACAAGUUGACACGUCGAUAUUUUUUGAAUAGGUUCGGUCGAUCCUGCGGGUACGACUUAGUCCUAUGUUAGGGGAGGCUUCGAGGGGGUCGUUAGCCAAGCGCUUGAGCCGAACUCGUCUUCCCAAAUCGCCUAUAGCGAGAGAUCUCUAGGGGCCGCCUCAGACUUGGGCCGAACUUGUCUUCCCAAGUAGCGAGGUUGGGAUACCCUCGAGACUCUAACCCGAUCCUCUACUUCGAGUUGAGGUCGUACUAGACGGCCCGGAACCUCGAAACUAGGCUUCCCAAGUUGCGUCCUCGAGGUCGAGUCGAGACUAGGCUCGACCCAAGCACUCGAGAGCGGGCUCCUUGAGUUGCUCUAGCCCUCUCCCCUUUGAUCUUAUUUCAAUGGAGAGCGAAUGAUACAUGCCCCCAUGGGGCGGUAUUUAUAGCCUAGGGGUCCAUGACAAAAGACCAUCGCUAUCCUUGAGGGAGGAGGAAAGUGAGGGUAAAGCGGUAAAUCCACUCCUAGAGUUUUCUUGCUCCCUACUCUAGCUCCUUUGACCAUGGCGUGGGGGGUUUGACCCUUUGACUCCUUUGACCGAUGCUUAGUUGGCAUGGCUAUGCCUUGUCGGCAAUUUGACCGGUCUUUGGGAUUUGUUGACUUGGUCGAUGUCACGUAGGAUCGCGGCCCGGUCCAUGUAAGGAUUUUGAACUUGCACCAUCUUCAAAGACUUGCAAAUCUAACUGUUGAAAAUUCGAAAAAGCAAAAUGCCCACAAAGAUUCGCCGCAAAGGCAAAGCGCCUCAGGGCAUCUCCAAUGGUCCAGCGAAGUAGGUACUAAGCAGGUGCCAGUGGGAUGCCACAUCAGUGAAAGAUGACGUGGAAGCAAACUUUAGGUGUGAGAAGAUGAAACGGUUACUCGGAGGAGAAACGAUACAAUCUCUUGUACCAAGACGAAAGUAACGGCGAAAACGCCGUUGGAGCAGUACUAAUACCUGCAGCCGUGCAUGUAGUAGGACCCAUCGAAAAGUACAGGAUCAGUUGCAUCGAGCAACGCCGGAGGCUUGCCUUCCCGCACAGCUACCUCCGAAGUUCCGAUAAAAUUAAAAAUUUCUUUCGUGGGCUGCUGCAAUCCCAUGGCUCCACAUGCACUGUCUGCUAGUAGCGUGCUCCUCUUUUCAUUGUUCGGAGAUUUUUUUUAUGUGGUUUCUCUAUUCAAUAUACAUCUCUCCUCACCAACUAAUCUUGGGUGGUUAAAAGUUGAUCGAUUUUGCACUACUGGAAAAUAUUUGCGUUUGUGCAUCUGCUCCGUUCUUUCAACGAUUUAACUAGUUUCUAGAUGAAUGUAUAUCUAGGCCACAAAGUUAUAAUGCACAGUGAAUUAGCCAAAAUAAUCACACAGGACAAUAAUUAAAUAGUCUUGCAGAUCUUAGUAACAGAGAAAAGAAAAUCCCAUUGAGCAAUCGUUACUAGUAUAUUAUUUUUUACUAGCAAAAGAACCCGUGCGUUGCUACGGAACAACGAUAAAUUAUAUCAAAACGUCAAAUUAAAUGUUGAUGUGUUUAUGAUAUGUUUAUUUUCGCGGGCUAUACUCUGGUCUCUUUCUUUUUUUCAGAUGUCUUAUUUAUAUAUUUCUUCUUGCCUUGUUCUUCUAUUACUCUUACUCCGUACAUUAUUUCUCAAAUCUCUUCUCCCAAUUUCUCGCUCUCACUCUGACUAUCCUCUCCAUCCACCCUAAGUGCAAACUCCUCCUCUCCCCGUCCCGCUUCAUCUCGCCGCCGAACAUCAUGCCGCCAUGUGCGGCCGCCCGCUUGUAGAUUCCCGCCGCCUGUCCACUCCCGCGCGCCGUCUGCUCCCACUUGCCGCUAGGUACGCUUGUGUGCCGCCCCCACAUCGCGUCCGGACACUGAUCUCCGCGUGCCACUGCCCGUCCGGAGGGCCACCGAUGGCUCGCGCCGACGCGGUCCCUGCUGCCUUGCGCGAGGCCACCGCCAUCCCGACCUGAGGCUCAUCCCAUCGCCGUUCAAGUCCCACGGGGAGCCAUUGGCGCGCACGAGCCGGUGGAGGCGGCGGUCGGAGCGCGCGAAGGAGCCGCGGGUCCGCAGCCGCCUUCCACACACGGACGCCGCCGACGCGCACGAGCUGGUGUAGGUGACAAGAGCGGCGGCAGGCGUGGGCAAGAUCCGGAUCGGGCAGAAGGCGGGGGUGAGAUUUGUAGGAGAAGAGGAGGAGCGAGGAGAGCUCUGUUGGUUUUUUUUUGACGGUACGUGUUUUUUCUGUGCUUGAGAAGACAUCGGUGACAGAUUCGUAAUUUCGGUGAAGCGACGUACCACCGCGCGACCGCCAACUACAAUUUAAUAUAUUGUUAUAGAUUUAUAUUACCAACGUUAGCAUAAGCCGAUUGAAGUUGCCCUCAUAUCCGGAAUGAUCGUACUUUGUCGUACUUUAAAACUCCGGCAAAAUUAUUUCCCCUCUCGACAGCAGCGGCGGCGACCCACCGGCCGCCGGAGAUGGGAGCCGCCGCAAAGCCCGCUCCCUUCGUCUGCUUCAAGUGGCCGUGGGGCCCCAGCCUCAACGCGAGCCCUAACCCCAGCCUCAGCCCGAGCCCGAGCCCAAGCCCCUGCGGCGACCUCGAGCUCCCCUGGCUCUUCAAGUCCAUCCGCACCGUGGCGCAGGGCCUCCUCAUCGCGGGCGACCUCCCUUCCCCCAGCGGCGGCGACGGGUCGAGGC